UUCAAAUUUCUAAGAGCAAACGGUGAAUGCCUUGGCAUGUAGAGCCGAAGAAGGACGUAGUAAUCUGCGAUAA
rnacentral:rRNA from 1 species